UACGGGGGGUGCGAGCGUUGUCCGGAAUCACUGGGCGUAAAGGGCGCGUAGGUGGCAUGAUAAGGGUGUGGUGAAAGCCCGGGGCUCAACCCCGGAAUUGCCUUUAAGACUGCAUCGCUUGAAUCCGGGAGAGGUGAGUGGAAUUCCGAGUGUAGAGGUGAAAUUCGUAGAUAUUCGGAAGAACACCAGUGGCGAAGGCGGCUCACUGGACCGGUAUUGACGCUGAGGUGCGAAAGCGUGGGGAGCAAACAGG
rnacentral:rRNA from 1 species